UGGUAUAGCUCUCGCCAAACGUAUAACAACGUUAUUUGCUAUUCCGAGAUUAGGCUCAUCGUUUGGUUUUUGUUGUUUUUCCUCUUGUACAGAAUAGACCUCAAAUCUGUAAGCGCAUCACAUAAGAUUACAGAGAACAAAAAGCUUAUAACCCCACUUUUGAGGCUUAUUAGAAAGUCGUUGUUCUAUUGCAACUGAUGGCAAUGUUGUAUUUAGCUGUUCUAUCACAGACGGAAUCUUAUGGAGGCGAUCRUGAUCAGAAUGWUCUCACGGAUGAUGUUUACUAUAGUCGUGGAAAUGUAAAUAGCUCCUARUCAUCUCAAAUCUAUUUACCGGCAUUGCGCCCUUUACAGAAAAUAACACAAUGCAACCAUUUUCCGGUUAAAAGUCGGCCAUCUUGGAUUCUAAUAGAAACUCAACCCGGACUCCCUUGACGUUUCCACAAUGGCACCUCUCAGAUGUCCCUUUGUUUACAUAACUUCAGCUGAUAGUGAUUCUACUCUUCCUCUACCGUGGUUGGCAUAGACGUCGAUGUAACACCCCUUAAUUGAGCUCUCUCCUGGGAGAUCACAUUAGUAAUUUUAACAUUUCUUCUUUUAUUUUUACAAUAGAUGAUUAUCGAAAGAUUGAGUAUAAUUAUGAUUGAUAUUGUAUAUAUACUUAUAUUUAUGUAUUGUUGCUGUUUUUGGUAUUUAACUUCAUCUAUGAAGUUUAUAUAUUUAAUGUUGUCUAAAUCGCUUAAUACAAUAGUGUUCUUAA